CGGAAGGUAAAGGUGCUUGAGUUGGUUUCAUCUCUUUGAUGAUUUUCUAGGAAAGCCUGAGCACCAUAAAAGUUACAAUAACUAGAUAAAUCUCAUUCAUCUCAAGUAUCCCCUUCUCUUUCCUUGAUAUAUUAUCAAGCGCUCGCUUCUUUCUCUUCUUUUUUACUCACAAAUUACAAGUCUACUGUUAGUUCCUUGAGAGAAACACAAACAGAUGGAGUGUAUAAUGACUAUCUUGCAGAUGUGCUGCAGAUCGUUAACAUUUUCUUCUCCGUCAUCUGCUGCAGCUGCUGAUGAUGAUGAUGAUGGUAUUGAAGCUAAUAUCCCCCCUCGUCGGGAGAAGUAUGAUGUGUUUAUCAGUUUCAGAGGUGAGGACACCCGUGAUGGUAUUACCAGCCAUCUUCAUGCUGCCUUACUUCAGAAGAAAAUUGAAACCUACAUAGAUUACAGACUUCAGAAAGGAGAAGAAAUCGGACCUGCCCUUCUAGAGGCAAUUGAGAAAUCCACACUUUCGGUGAUCAUUUUCUCACAAAACUAUGCUUCUUCCACAUGGUGUUUGGAUGAGCUCGUGCAUAUACUCGAAUGCAAGAAAAGAUAUGGCCAUAUGGUUAUACCCGUAUUCUACGGCAUCAAUCCAUCUCAUGUACGAAAGCAACACGGGAGUUAUGCAGGUGCAUUUGCUCAACUUGAAAAACGAUGCAAGGACAAUAUUGAUAAGAUGCACAAGUGGAGGCAUGCUUUGAAGACUGCAGCCGAUCUGUCUGGGUUUGAUUAUUCAAGCAAACGCGGGUAAGUAACACAUUCUUUAACUUGUAUAAAAUUAUAAAUUUUCUUUAAACUUGUUACAAUUUGAUUUGUACUCAGAUUUUGGUAAAGCUAGCAUUACUCUUAAACUUGGGGAGGGGUGGCACUGUAGUUUAGCUGCAGUGCAAUUGAGGGUAGAUUUUGGUUUUAGCAAGACUUCAUGUCUGCGCAUUGCGGUAGGUCAAAAAAUUUGUCAUGUAAUUAAAAUCAGAUCCUAAAGAAGAGUGGAAUAUUUUUUUUUUUUAAUUUAGAGAACAACAUUACAUCAAAGUAAUAUAAGCCACUAGGAAUAGCCUAGUGGUGAGGGUGUGGGUAAGGGGUGGGGUAGUUCUAGGUUCCAGGUUCGAAACCUGGUGUGUGUGUUUGUGCUUGUAUUUGUGUGGGUGGUGGAGGGUAACCAAAAAAAAAAAAAAAAAAAAAAAAAAAAAAGUCAAAGUAAUAUGUAAUGUAAAUAACAGAACAAAAUAGAACAUUUUAAUAGACGGUGUAAGCACAAAAUAUAAUGAAUUUGCAUAAACGAAAGGGAGGAAAAAGUAAACCAACGGCAAUAACUGGGUUUUCAUUUUUUGUCACUGUAGUUAUCAUAUUUGAAGCAAGCAACCAAACAGCAUAUGAUAAUUCCAAUUCAAUCCACCAUCACAAUCCCUGACCUGAAACUAAAUCUCACGCCAACCCAAACACACAGCCCAAAAUUUUUUACUCAGUUAGUCUCCAAUCUAAUUACAACUCUAGAGUAAGUACUUCCUAAAGAAUAUGAACAUAGGGAUACAGAAUCCACAUGUGACAUAGGGACGUAGGGGACAUCUUAACAUACGUACAAGAUAUGAAAUAAAAUACUAGAACCAAUACCUCAAAAUAAAUAUCAUAAUGGGCUCUCCUCACAAAAUAUAUACAAAUUUGUACUCUCAAAAGACACAACUCUCACUAGGGCAAAGACAUGCCCAUAGGCGCUUAAAAUAUAAGUCCCAAAAGAAAUAAUACAAGGAAGAAUAAAGGGGUAACCUAAUCGCUCCUAAGUCUUUGAUCUCUGCAUUGCUAGCCUCACUGGCUCCUUGCAAUCUACACAGGCUUGUGUCAUCAUGCCGGAGUCCGCACUAACUAGAGGUGGUUUAGUAUGAGAUUCCAACCCAAAAAUGAGAUCCCAAAUCCCAAACCAAAAUUUUUUGGGACGAGAAUUUGAAAACCAAUUUCGGAACAACAUUUCGGUAUGGAUCAGGAUUGGAUUUUGAGUUUUGGGCUUUUGGGUUGAAAUUUGAGAUUUUUGGGUUGUGGGCUAAAACUUGGGCUUUUGGCCUGAAAUUUUGUUGCCCAAUUUCAUAUCAAUUGAAAUUUAGACAUUUUACCUCUUACCAAUUUGAAAUUUCAUAUCCAUUGAAAUACCAAUUCAUUCCUACCAAGUCAAAUUGACGUUCCAAAGUUCCAAACUAUUUAAUUUCACAUUUCUAUUUCUAAUAUUAGUCUGCUAUCAAACUACUUAAAUUCAACAUUCAACAUGCAUGCAACCAAAAUAAAUAAAUAAAUAUAUCUAUAUUUUCGGUAAAUGAGGAGAGGAGAGAAGGAGAAGGAAAUGAGGAGAGGAGAAAAGGGGGAAGGGAGAAGCAUCGGCGCAAGGAAGAGAUGGAGGGUUGAUAUUGUGGAAAUGUUUUAUUACUGUCGGUUAAAACCGACAGAAAUAUUUUUUAAAAAUAAAAACUGACAGAAACUUCUCAUUAAUGUCGGUUAUAACUGACAGAAACAAAAUGGAUGCAAAAAUCCCCCCAAAAUUCCCUCUGAAAAUUUUAAACUUUCCCCUAAAUUUUAAAAUCCCCCCCCCCCAAAAUUUUGUUACGAUUUUAAAUAAUAAAAUAAUAAUUGUUUGGUUUAAUAAAUAAUAUGUAUUUAAAUAGAAUAUGUUUUUAAAAAUUAAAUAAAUAAUUGUAUGAUUUAAUAGAUAAUUGUAUGGUUUAAAAAUUAAAUAAAUAAUUGUAUGGUUUAAUAUAUAAUUUUUACAUUUUUGGUUGAAUAGAUAAUAAUCCAUGUAAAAUAUGUGAUAAAGAAACAAAAAGAGAAUUGUACAAUGAAAAUGUCUUCACACAAACUAAAUAUUGGUUAAACCAAUACUUGAAAAACAUAAAUAAAAAUUUAGCACAAAUUACUCUUCCCACUUCAAAAUUUUGGCAAAUUUAUGCAUUCUACGAAACUAGUUUAAAAUAUUUACACUAGUGGAAACCACAAAAUCUUAUUUUAUACUUAAUAGAAGUAUAAUUUUUAUUCUAUGAGUUUGUUUAAUCUACCGUUUUGAUGCAAUAUGCAUUCUAUGAAUUUUUUUUCAACGAUCCAACCGUCAAAUUUAUUUGCACACACUUCGAGAUUGCAUACGUAAAAAAUCGUAAAAAAACAAACAUUCAAAGAUUAGGUAAUUGAACAAAAGUUUUCGACGGUUAUAAAAGAAAAAUAAUAAUUUAACGGUUAUUUUAGCUCCGAUUUUGAUGAUUUUUUUGCAGCUACACUCCUCAACCCUAUAAGAAUAUAAUAAAUAAAUUUGAUCUUCAAUUUAAAAUAUUUACACUAGUGGAUACUGACACACCCUAACCCGAAGACUAGGACGUGCUGGCCGUCACGUGAGCGUGACGUAACCAUAAACGCAAGCGGAAACGAUUAAAUAAUAAAAUACGAGUCAACGAAAACCACUAAUUUCAGUUAUUAACAACCUAGCAUUCUAUAUGCAUAAGAGUGUACUAAACACACAUAAACAGAGCAUAAGCGUCUAGGUGCAGUCAAGUAGGACCAUAACUAAUUUACAACACCCUCGGGUGAAUCCUACAUUUAUUUAGUCUGUCAGAACGCCGAAAGUAGUCCCUCGUAGGCCACCAUCAACUAUCAACUAGAACCUGGAGGGGCGGCGAAAACAACAGAAAACGUGAGUGGGCGAAAAUAAAGCUUUUCCAAAUCAUUUCAUAAAUCCACAUUUAUAACCCCUUUUUGAAAACCUGUAUACUUUCCCAGAAAAUAGUAUAUAGCAUAUAUAAAUCUCAACCAUCUCGAUCAUCAAUCUUAUAACAGAUUCAAUAAAGAAUGUACCAUGCCAAAUUCAACAUUUUAGUAUGAAUGCAUUGACAUAAUAUAAAUCAGGUAAAAGAAAGUAAUCAAUCGGAGGCCCUCUAAUGGCCCUGAACGAUUGAACCUAGAGCUCAAAAUCUAUCAACUCUGCCGGAGUCACCUCUGUGACCUGUCCGACCUUCUGCACAUAAGUCGGAACCACCUAAUGUAGUCUGUACGACUUAAUGGUUAAUAUUACGCUCUAGUGCUUUUCUCAUCAAUCAUCUGUACACAUAAUCUAAGGUCACCCACCAGUCGCAAUCUCACUAACACUCUACGACUGGCACGUCGUCACCCACUCCGCGUGGACUGUGCGACCAGCAUCUACUUGGAUCCAAGGCGAGCGUGCGAUUGCGAAUGCACUAAACCAUGGUAAGCACUCAAAUAUAUGAUAUCAUCAUCAUCAUCAAACAGUAACAGUAAUACUCACCUGAUAUACUCACAUACAUCUUUAUGCAUCUUACAUAUGCAUCAUACAACAGUUCAUAAUAUUCAUAAUUCUAUGCAUGGCAAUCAAAUCAUUUCAUUUCAAUUUCUUUUCAUUUAAUUUGGGGAAAUCGAGUAUAUAGGUAUAUAUAUAAAAUAAAUGCCCCUCACUGGUAUGUCGCCGGGUCGUAACCCCCUUGACGCCCCUGGGAAAGUGCUCGUCCUCGUUAUAAGUCCCAAUAACCUAAAAUGGUCAAUAACGCACAUUUAACACACCUAAACCAAACUAAGUAAUUAAUUCUUCAUACGAUGCUCAAAAUAUUGGAAUAUACCACAGUGACCUACACAAUCUCAGGAUCAUCCCCAUAUUUUUAAAAUAAUUUUUUCGGCCUCACGCGAAAUUGCACGCGGACGUGCAACACUUGUGCCCGGAAUAUUUAUUCGGUACCGUUCAACCUUCAGUAUCCGACCGUCGCCGGCGACCGGAAACUGGCGUAAUUUUUCAAAUCCACUAUUCUCCUUCGUUUUUCGUCCAUUUUUCAUGUAAUUUAUAACAAAAUGAAGCCCUAAACACCUACUAUCACGUUGGAUUAAUUUUAGGGCCUAAAAACUACGAGAUCAAACUUUUCAAAAAUUCAAGAAAUCGGCCAAACUUACAACUCGUGAUCCUGACGUCCAAUUCAUGCCAACGAAGCACUCCGAGCUUCCUUGGGACUUCCUUAAGAAUAUAUAACAUAUCCCAUUCAAACUUAACAUCCUUCCUGGUUAACUUCGUUAAUGGCAAGGCAAUCAUAGAAAAGUCUUGAACAAACCGUCUAUAAUAACCUGCCAAGCCAAGAAAACUCCGCACCUCAGCUGGAGAAUUAACUCUAGCUUCACUUCUUUCGAAGCUCUGAUACCAAUUGUCACAUCCCCGCCCGGGGCGGAUCACUUCCCGGGCCUGCUCCACCACCGUAGCACGAUAUUGUCCGCUUUGGGCCCCGACCACGCCCUCACGGUUUUGUUUCUGGGAACUCAUGAGCAACUUCCCAGGAUGGGUGGCCCACUGGGAAGUUGCUCAUGAGUUCCCAGAAACAAAACCGUGAGGGCGUGGUCGGGGCCCAAAGCGGACAAUAUCGUGCUACGGUGGUGGAGCGGGCCCGGGAAGUGAUCCGCCCCGGGCCGGGAUGUGACAGAUACUACAAAAUCUUAUUUUAUACUUAAUUAAGCAUAAUAUUAACUCAAAUGUUUGUUUAAUCUACCGUUUUGACCAAGGUUCUAAAAAACGCUAGGCGCUAGUCGGGCGGCGGGCUAGGGCCUGGCGCCUAGGCGGCUAGGCGGGGCCUAGGCGGACGCCUAGGCGGACUAGGCGGAUUUAAGUAAAUUUGUUAUAUAUCAUAUAAAUUAAUUCAAUUUAUUAUAUAAUAUGUAAUUAACAUUGAAUAAUAUGUUAAUUUUUUUUAAAGAAAAAUAUACAUGUCUAAAAUUUUAGACUUUUUUUUUAGUUUUGUAUCAUUAUCUUAGCCAUUAAUUUUUGUUGGGCCUUUUAUUUUAAUUAACAAAAUGCAAGAUUGGGCUUGUUUUAAAUUUUGAAUAGCAUCCUAACAAAAAACCCAAAGGCCGGCUAACCCAUUUAUCGUAUUAGAAUAUAAAAUUAAGAGCACUUGUAUUUAUGGGUGAAAUGGUCAUCCCAGUCACCAACUCACCUUUAGAAAACAAAACCCUAACUACGACUGCUCGCUUCUAAAACCAUGGCCGCCGUCAGCAUCUCUGCAAUUGCAGAUGCACUCUCUAUCUCUCUCUCCCUCAUCUCGUAUACCAUCGUCACACUAAGACUCGGUUAGACAAGACAGCCAGACCCGGGAAGACAAGACAGCGAGACGCAGAGCGCCCAGAUUGCCCAACGUUGGACUGCUUCUGGGUAGGAAUUCGUAUUUUCCAAGACUGCCCAGACCGUCCAACUUCUGUCUUGCCCGCCUAGCGUUCGUCUUCCCGCCUAUGCAUCUGCCUUACGCCACCUAAUUGCCUUGCCGAUUUAAUUAACGAUUUCGGUAUAAUCGUGGCGGAACACUGCCGUCUAGCGCCUCGGCGCCGCCUAGGCGGCCACCUAGAGCGCGUUUUAGAACACUGGUUUUGACGCAACAUGCAUUCUACGAAAUGUUUUUCAACGAUUCAACCGUCAAAAUUAUUUGUACACACUCCGAGAUUGCAUACAUAAAAAAUCGUAAAAAACAAACAUUCAGAGAUUAGGCAACGAAAUAAAAGUUUUUGACGGUUAUAAAAGAAAAAUCACAAUUUAACGGUUAUUUUAGCUUCGAUUUUGAUGAUUUUUUACUGCUACACUCCUUAACCCUAUAAGAAUGUAAUCAAUAAAUUUGAUCUUCAAUUUAAAAUAUUUACACUAGUGGAUACCACAAAAUCUUAUUUUAUACUUAAUAGAAGUAUAAUAUUAACUCUAAGUGUUUGUUUAAUCUACCGUUUUGAUGCAAUAUGCAUUCUACGAAACUUUUUUCAACAAUCCAACCGUCAAAAUUAUUUGUACAUACUCCAAGAUUGCAUACGUAAAAAAUCGUAAAAAACAAACAUUCAGAUAUUACAUAACGGAACAAAAGUUUUUGAUGAUUAUAAACGAAAAAUCAUAAAUUUAACGGUUAUUUUAGCUCUGAUUUUGAUGAUUUUUUACAGCUACACUCCUCGACCCUAUAAGAAUGUAAUGAAUAAAUUCGAUCUUUAAUUUAAAAUAUUUACACUGGUAGAUAACACAAAAUCUUAUUUUAUACUUAAUAGAAGUAUAAUAUUUACUCUAAGUGUUUGUUUAAUCUACCGUUUUGACACUAUGCAUUAUACGAAACUUUUUUCAACGAUCCAACCGUCAAAAUUAUUUGUACACACUCCGAGAUUGCAUACGUAAAAAAUCGUAAAAACCAAACAUUCAGAGAUUAGGUAACGGAACAAAAUUUUUCGACGGUUAUAAAAGAAAAAUCACAAUUUAACGGUUAUUUCAGCUCCGAUUUUGAUGAUUUUUUUACAGCUACACUCCUCAACCCUAUAAGAAUAUAAUGCAUAAAUUUGAUCUUCAAUUUAAAUAUUUACACUAGUGGAUACAAGAACUUAUUUUAUACUUAAUUGAAGCAUAAUAUUAAUUCAAGUGUUUGUUUAAUCUACCGUUUUGAAGCAACAUGCAUUCUACAAAACUUUUUUCAACGAUUCAACCGUCAAAAUUAUUUGUACACAGUUCGAGAUUGCAUACGUAAAAAUCGUAAAAAACAAACAUUUAGAUAUUACGUAACAGAACAAAAGUUUUCGAAAGUUAUAAACGAAAAUCACAAUUUAACGGUUAUUUUAGCUCCGAUUUUAAUGAUUUUUUACAGCUACACUCCUCGACCCUAUAAGAAUGUAAUGAAUAAAUUUGAUCUUUAAUUUAAAAUAUUUACACUAGUGGUUACCACAAAAUCUUAUUUUAUACUUAAUAAAAGUAUAAUAUUAACUCUAAGUGUUUGUUUAAUAUACCGUUUUGACGCAAUAUGCAUUCUACGAAACUUUUUUCAACGAUCCAACCGUCAAAAUUAUUUGUACACACUCUGAGAUUGCAUACGUAAAAAAUCGUAAAAAAACAAACAUUUAGAGAUUAGGUAACGGAACAAAAGCUUUCGACGAUUAUAAAAGAAAAAUCACUAUUUAACGGUUAUUUUAGCUCCGAUUUUGAUGAUUUUUUACAGCUACACUCCUCAACCCUAUAAGAAUGUAAUGAAUAAAUUUGAUCUUCAAGUUAAAAUAUUUACACUGGUGGAUACCACAAAAUCUUAUUUUAUACUUAAUAGAAGUAUAAUAUUAACUCUAAGUGUUUGUUUAAUCUACCGUUUUGAUGCAACAUGCAUUCUACGAAUUUUUUUUCAACGAUCUAACCUUCAAAAUUAUUUGUACACACUUCGAGAUUGCAUACAUAAAAAAUCGUAAAAAAAAACAUUCAGAUAUUACAUAACGGAACAAAAGUUUUCGACGAUUAUAAAAAAAAAAUCACAAUUUAACGAUUAUUUUAGCUCCGAUUUUGAUGAUUUUUUACAGCUACACUCCUCGACCCUAUAAGAAUGUAAUGAAUAAAUUCGAUCUUUAAUUUAAAAUAUUUACUGACACACCCCGACCGAAGUCAAGGCAUGAUGGCCGUCACGUGAGCGUGACGUAGCCAUGUGCGCUGUGCGGAAGCGAUAUUUUAUAAGGAAAGUACGAAUAAAUUAAACCAACUACGAUAGGUUCUAAUUUGAGUUUAAGUGUGAAUACACAACCAGAGCACAAGGUCUAAGUGCAGUCAAACAUAAGAUGUACAUAUUUAACAACACUCGAAGUUGGUCCUACAUGAGUGGUGGUUUGUCAGAACUUUCAGCUGGACACUUCGAGAUUCACCGAUAUACGCUACCUAGAACCUGGAGGGGCGCAAAACAAAGUUGAGUGGGUCAGCAAAACAAACUUAUUCAAAACCUUCUUUUUUUUCUUUUGAAUGUACUAACCCCUCGCCGUAAAACAAGUAUAAUUUUCCAGCAAUAAAGUAUAUAAUCAUAUACGUAAUAUAUAUCAAAUCAUGCUGAACAAUAUGAAUGUAUGUCAUGCCAAAUAUCAUAACUGAAUGCUUAACAUCCUAUGUGAAUCUGAUGGGAUAACAUAUAAUCAAUUCAACGCUCGGCUAUAAACAUAAUUCAUAAUCAUCUCAUCACAAUCAACUCAGCCCUCAGCUGCAUAUAUAGCUCAUAAUCAUCUCAUCACAUCAUUUAUAAACAUGUAUAUCCUGCACACAUUCAAUACCACCUCACGUGGUCUGCAAUUCAUCAUCGUAUAUAAUAUAAUAUGCUCUAGUGCUACAAUCACGUGAAGCUGUGCGAUAAAUUGCGGGUCACCUACAAGUCGAACCCACAUAAGUGGUCUAUACGACAGGCUGUACACCUAACUUGGAUCCAAGGCGAGCAUGCGGUGCGGGAGGUGAACAUCACGUGAAAGACUGUGCCUCUAUCUCUGGGCGGGAGCACUAAUAUACGUGUGCAAGUAAAUGAGCUUUCAAUCACAUCUCAAUCGAAUCAUAUAAUUCAUCAUAUUCCAAUCUUAUCUCAUGAUCGUUAUAAGCAUAAUAUGUCAAUUGUAUCUCAAUUCUAUCUCAAAUCAUAUCACAAUUAUAUCUCAAACAUAUCUCAAUCUCAUUCCAAACAUAUCUCAAUCACAUUUCAUACGUAUAUCCACUGUAUUUCGUAUGUAUUUCAAACGUAUAUUAUACGUAUUUCAAAUGUAUAUUAUACGUAUUUCAAAUGUAUUUUGUACGUAUUUCAAAUGUAUAUUGUACGUAUUUCAAAUGUAUAUUAUACGUAUAUCAAUCGUAUUUCAAACGUAUAUACUUACGUACUUCAAAUGUAUUUCAUAUGUAUAUCAAUCAUAUUUCAAAUGUAUUUCAUAUGUAUAUCAAUCAUAUUUCAAAUGUAUAUACUUACGUGUAGCUUACCUGGGCCUCCUCAGCACCAUGCAACAAUAUGCAUAAUUAUAAUAAUGCACAUACUAAAAUAUGAUGCAUACAUGAUAAGUUGCUUAAUUCGUAUUUCUUUUAAAUACGUUUUCUGGGAAAUACGUCAAGUAUACGUAUAUAUAUACUAAAAAAUAACUGCCCACUCACUGAUAAGUAGCUGGUUCAUAACCCCCUCGCCUAUUUUGGUUACGUUCUUCGUCCGUAUAAUUUUUACCUAUACAAAAAUAAUUAUAAAACAUCAUUUAAACGCACAUACACAAACAUACGUCAAUAACUUUCUCAUACGUUGCUCAAUUUGGGUAUGUGAAUAUACCACGGUGAUCUACACGACGUCACGAACACGUGACAAUUUUCAGAACUUGAUUUGGGUCUCUCACGCGCCCUCACGCGCCACCUGUACGCGCUGCCCACACGCGCGUCUUCUUCCUCGCGUCGCCGGACUGGUUUCGCCGGAGGUGGUGUUGCCAGAAUUUCUGGGUAAACUUCAAAGUGUCAUAACUUCUUCAUUUCUUAACCAUUUUCGACGUACUUUAUAUCAAAAUGAAGGUAUUGACGAGACGAACACAUCCAUAUCUGCCUUGACCCCUAACGCGGCGUGGAUUCACCGGAAAAAGCCCCGAAAGCUCCGGCCAAACUUUGAUCUCGUCGUUCUCCGUGUUCUUACGUCCAAACACUUCCAACGAACUACUCCAAACCUCCUAAGGACCUCAAGAAGCUUCCUAUAAGCUUGAAAAGUCCUAAAAAUCAACCAAUAAAAAGUUGAUGAAUAGUACCUAAACCGGAGUUCGUAUUUUCGACGUGAAAACGUUAUAGUUCUUACCUGAAAUUGGUAUGGUUGGACUCGUAUCGUCGAAACGAAGAAGAUGGUGAUUUUUCUUCGUCGAUCUAUGAAGUUUUGAUGAACUUGUUGUUUGGUCCGUGGGUUUUGAGAGAAGGAGAGAGAGAGCUUGAGAGCUUGACGGGAGAGAAUGAGAGUUGAGUUUGAGGGAGCUGAGGGAAAAUAAAAGAGAGUGAUUGAGGGAACAAAGUGGAGGGUUUCACGGAAAAGAAAAAGAAAAGUAAGGGAAAAUGAAUGAUUUCUGUAAGCCCUAGGGGUGGGCACGGUUUGGUUUAGUGCGGUUUUGAGUGAAACCAAAACCAAAACCGCAAGUUUUUGCGGUUUGGUUUGGUGCGGUUUUGAAGCUAAAACCGAAAUGAAACCAAACCAUUUGGUUCGGUUUGGUUUGGUUUUAAACGGUUUUGGUUUGGUUUCGUUGUUUGAAAAAACUAUUAAAGUGCUAAAAACUACAUUGUAUGCUCUCUUUGUUACUGUCACAAGAAAGUAUGAAUAGCCAAACACUACUUCAUAAGCUAAACUAAAAGUAAAACAGUUUGGCAUCAUUAAUGAUUGUAGUUAGAAUUUUCUUAAACAUAACCAGUUAAGGAGACAAAGGAAGUUUUCAGCACAAAAAAAAUAAUUCAUACCGCAACAAAAUAUUUCAACUUGAUGAUGACAAUAUUAAAAUUUAACUUAAAAUAAAGUUCAACAUUAAAAAUCAAAAUACCAUAAGGUUUAGGACACUUACUUUGCAUCAUUCAAGUUUCAAACUUCUGCCUUUCCCCUUCCUUUUGCACACUUACUAGCCGAAGGUUUAGGAGGUCUUUGAACUUGUGAGCGGGCUUGAGAAGCCGAUACUUGUGAAGAAUUUGCACGUUGUAAAUUUGAAAACAAUGGAUGGGAAGCCAUUGAUCCUUGUGCACUAGAACUUUUUGAUUGACUUGGAGUUGGAGCUUGUUGUGAUUGUGGAUUAAGAGUAAGAGAGGCGAGAGUUGAGGUUGAUUUGGCCACCUCUACAUAAUACAAAACAUAAACAAUAUAAAUCACAUUAGUUGUUAGAAACUUUAAAAAACAUACAAAAGAACAAAAUAUAUUGAAAAAGAAAACUACGAAAGUUCUUUAACUUGAAAUGAUAUACUUACCCGAUUCAAUACUUUCAUAGAACUCAAUGUGCUCAACCGAAGGUGCAUCAUCCUCCAAAGUAAUAAUGCUAUCGCCCCUCAACCAAUUUUGCAUGCAUAUAAAGGCCUCUACCGAUUUAGGAGUUAAAGAACUCCUAAAAUCUGAAAUUACUCGACCCCCGGUGCUAAAAGCACUCUCCGAUGCCACGGUAGAGACUUGAAUAGCAAAAAUAUCUUUUGCAAUGGCGGCCAAGAUAGGAUACUUAGUACCAUUCAUCUUCCACCAUAAGAGAAUGUUAAAAUGCUUCGUGGACUCCUCUUUUGUAAUUUGCACCAAAGGAUCCAACAAAUACGAGUCCACCUCAUCUCUCACCACUUUCUCAUCACUAUCUUCAACAAAAUGCAUCCAUUCAUCAACAAGAUCAUCUUCCAUUGACACCACAUCGGAUGAAGUAGAAGAAUAUUGUGCUUGUGAAGGGCCUUUCUUCAUGUGUUUUCCACCUUCAACAUUAGGAGCAUAUGCAUCAUAAAGGGCAUGCAAUAGAUCUUUUACUUCAUUAGCUUUCAAUAAUGCCUCAAAAUCGGAAAGUUUCUUUUUAAAGAGUUGUGUGACAUGCCUCAACUUGAACCUUGGAUCCAAAACAAGUCCAAUCAUAAUUAGAGGGUUCAAUUCAUGGUAUGAGUCAAAAUAUUUUUCAUAUUUUGAUCUCAUGUCGGAAGCCAUGGCCUUCAAUAAUUGCUCCGAAGGUAGACCGACUUGCAUGUUGGCUCGGGACUCUAAAUUAUUUAUAGCGGUCUCUAUUUUUAUGACAUCAUGGAGGCCGGUAUGAACUGUGGGAUGUGUAGAAGCACUAACCCUCAAAGUCACAUCAUAGAACACCCGUAAAAACUUGACAAAAGCUUCCGCCUUGAGCCAAUCUUCUUCCGUAGGUGGUCCAACCAUUUUCCUCCCUUUAAUUUGGCAAGCAAUAAACACCCCAUCUUCAUCUUUUUCAUCUUCAACUUCCUUAAAGUAAGCCACAAAGGGACUUUUUACAUCCUCCGCCAUAGUGGCAAAGGCCUUCUUAAACUUCAAAGCUACAUCCAACAUAACAAAUGUAGAAUUCCACCGAGUAGGACAAUCAAGGCAAACCGUUGCUUUGCACGUCAACUUCACCAAAUUCACGGCUUGCCUAAAAAACUGCAAUCUUUGUGGAGAGCUCCUCACAAACCUCACACAAUUUCGUAUUGCUAAAAGACCAUUCUUUAGCCUCUUCAUCCCAUGACUCACAAUUAUGUUGGUUAUGUGAGCGAUGCAUCGUACAUGUAAAUACUUGCCACCUAAAAUAGCUUGUGAAUUUUCCCACCUAUUCAUUUUUACCAUAAGUUGAUCCAAAGCAACUUUAUUUGCGGAAGCAUUGUCCACUGUGAUUGUCAUAACUCUAUCUAUCCCCCAUUCCAACAAGCAAUUUUCAAUUAACUUUGCAAUUGUGGUUCCAUAGUGGUUAGGAAUAACACAAAAGUUUAUGAUCCUCUUGUGCAUAUUCCAUUCAUCAUCAAUGAAGUGUGCAGUAAGAACCAUAUAAUUGAUAUUUUGUGUGCUUGUCCAAGUGUCGGUGGUGAGACAGAUUCUGUGCCCACUUAAGUUUUUCUUCAAAGAAGUCUUCCAUUCUUCAUACAUGUUGAGAAAAGUUCUAACAAGUGUUCUUCUAGAAGGCACAUUAAACAAUGGAAUACCAACAUCCAAAAAAGCCGAAACCCCAUCUUAUCAACGGUACUAAAUGGCAUCUCAUCUAUGACUACCAUCUUGACACAUGCUUCUAAUACAUUAACUUGUGAAAAGCCAACAACAACCACAUUGUUAUCUUUACUUUUAUCCUCAAAACACUUUUUGCUUUUUACAUUUAUUCCCCUGAUAAAAUCUACAAUAUUUUUCAAUGUGGUGUUUCAUAGUUGAGGUGCCAUUUACUCUCGGUUCAGCUGCAUAGUCACCAUCAUUGCUCUUUUUCGAACAAUAAUUACACUUAGCUCUCCUAAGUUGUUUAUCCACCCAAACUUCCUCCCCCUUAUCAUUGAUUGUUUUCACUUUUUUCGUCACAUAGUAUGUUGUAAAAUGCUCCCAAACCCAACUACGCUUUCUUGAAUCAGAGUUACUUACUUGUGCAUCAUCUUCACCUUCAGAUUCAUUUCCAUCAUUUUUUGGGUCACCUUCAACAUUUUCUUGAUUUUCUGGAUCAAUUUCUAUUGUCUCAUCCUCCGGCUUCUCAGGGGAGUCACCCGUUGAAGAGAGAGCAACCGAACUAUGUUUGCUAGAUUCUUCAAAUCUUGACUGAAACAUAAAAGAAAAGUAAGCAGCAACAACAAUUAACAAUUAUCAGUAGUGUUUGGACUCCCUAUUGGACAACAUAUGAGUAACAGGUUUGGUUCGUUUUGUGAUCCAAAUCCAAUUUUUUUUCCAUUGAACACGUCAUGCUUAGUUUCAACAUGUUAAAUAGUUAUGAAUCACUUAUCCUGCUUGGCCUAUGUUGUAUUGUUUGAUAACUUUUUUUUUAUCGUAUGGGUAGAUGUUUCCACAAGGAAGGAUGCAAUUUGAGUACAUGAUCAAACCAAGGAUUAUAGAGCAGAUACUUUUAGUACAAUUCCGUUAAGUAGUGCCUCUCUUCAUUCAGGCCUGCAUUGAGUCUAAACUUGUAGGACAACUCAAUCACAGCUACAAAUAUUAACCACUGUACAUAUAAAUUACAAAGAAAACUCAUAUAUUGUAUAAGAACAAACCUCGCAACUUUCGAAAUUAUAUGUUGCAUACGAUUAACCGAUCCCCACGUUAGAAACUUCGUUACUACUAAAUAUGCCACGUUAAGUAGAACAGAUGAAUCAUAUAAUCAUAUACAUAAAAUCACCCAGGAAAAAGUAAAAUUAUAGUUAAAAUUAAGUGAAAAGGAAUGCAAGGAAGAAAGAAAAGAUGGAGUUGCUCUGAGCUCCGAGUCUGUGCAUUUCUUUUCCAACCCCAAAAAUACAGACUCUAGGUAAAAAUACAGAAUUUUCUACGAAAUUUUGAAUCAUUCACGACGUUAUAAAUCAUAGUUCUUACCAAAUCCCCUUUUGAUUCAAAACCCAACCCUAAAAUUAAUCUCAAAUCUAUAAGUAAAUUUAACUAAAACAAGUUAUAAAUCAUAGUUCUUACCAUAUUAGAACUCUGAAAUUUAGAAGCUAGGAGCUGGAGAGCCUAGAAUGAGGCCGAAGGGGAGAGAGAGACAGCGCCUGGAGACUAGAAGUGGAAGAGGAAGAAUGCACGGAUGAAUAAAAACUUGAGAAAGAAAAGUCUUUGGUCUUGUUAGUCCACGGACUAGAGACUAGAAGAAAGAAUAAAAGGUUAUUUUAUGUGGCCAUGUUAUGAUGUGGUUGAGUCCAUACUAAAUGUAUGGACUCAAUGAAAAUAACCAAUUAAAAUUUAACAUUUAAUAAAGGUAUGCGGUUUCGGUUUCGGUUCGGUUUUGGAGGGCCGAAACCGAAACCAAACCGUUUUCCCCCUAUUCGGUUCGGUUUCAAACCGAAACCGUUUUGAAACGGCAAAACCAAACCGUUCGGUUUGGUUUGGUUUGGUUCGGGUUUCAGUUGCGGUUUUCGGUUUCAAGUGCCCACCCCUAGUAAGCCCCGUGAGGGCAUAGGAUUCCAAGCUUAAUCAUUCAUACAUAUACCACCAAAAACAUCCCUAUCCGUCCAUUAUUACCCAAAAUAUCCAUGAUUAUCCAACUAAAAAAAAUUAGGGUAAUUAAACACACUUAUGAAAACGUUAAUUCGGGACGGGCUGUCACAAGCAAGUGGUAGUCUCAACCCACCUUUUAGCAGGGAGAUUGCCUUGACUCUGCAUAACCCGAAAAGUCUUCUCUACAUGCUCAUGCCAACGCUCGGCCCCUUCAUGUCCUUCAUUACCCAUAAAAGUAGGUAAUUUCAAAUUAUACACUGCCUCUAAGGGAGUCUUCGGAGGAGGGCGAAGUGAAGCUUGAAUGGCAUUAGUUAUAGCUUCCCCUAAUUGAGAGAUAUCGGGAAAACCAGGCUCAGAAUAAGAACGUGGAUGGUUGCCUGAAGAAGUAGCAGACUGGAAGAAUUUUAAGGAUUCGUUCUAUAAAAGGUUUAUUCCUCCAACAUAUCUUGACCAGAAGAAGCAAGAAUUAGUCAGUUUGAGGCAAAGAAAGUUGUCUGUUAAUGAGUACUAUCGGAAAUUUACUGAUUUGUCUCAAUAUGAUUCUGAUACUGCUGCUAAUCCUGUUGAGAUUCUUAGACGUUUCAAAAGGGGUACUAAAAAGAAGUGGCGUUCUAUGACUACCAUUGCAAACUGUACCACUUAUCAGGAAUUUUAUGAGGUUUUGAGGGUUGAGAACUCAGAAAAUUUACCCAGUGACAGUGAAGAAGAAGAAAGAGAUAAGAAUCAAAGGCGAAAUGAUAAAGGUAAAGGUCAGUUUUCUCAAGGACCUAAGAAAGCACAAAGUUUCAAAAGAAAUGGUAUGGGUUUGAGUUCUUCUAGCGGAGGUUUCGGCUUCUCAAAUCAGCGGCGAGGAGGUAGAUUCUCUGGAGGCCCUAAAUUUCAGGGACAGAGAGAUUCUGGUGGUUCUGGAGGUUCAGGCGUUCCUCUUUGCCGAAGGUGCAAUAAUCGACACGUUGGAGGAUGUCGUCAAGGUAACAGUGGGUGUUUUAAUUGUGGUCAGAUGAGGCAUAUAGCUAAGUAUUGUCCUUAGAGCCAACAGAGAGCUCUACAGCCUUUUGUGCCACAUCCAGCUCCGACUCAACAGUUUUCAGGACUUAGUGGUUUCACUCAGAUGGGUCGUGGUAGCGCUUAUCAUCUUCAAGGGGAUUCAGUUACUUAUCUUUCGAGACAUUAUCAAUACCCUCAGGACCCUUACCAGCAGAAUCGUUUUGGUCAAUAUUCAGAAGGUUAUAUGCCUUAUCAGCAGAACAACCUUGGUCAGCAGUUUUCAGCUGGUGGAUCACAGUGGCAGCCAGGAGGACAACCACAACAAAUGGAUAUUGGUAUUAGUAGUGCUGGAUCGUCUAGGCCGCACAUUCAGUUUGGUCAAGGACGUGGUUCACAGGGCAGAGGUGUUCAUGCUAGCAGAGGUCGAGGAGGAAGACAGCAAGCCCAAUGACGUAUCCACAACAUUUCUCUACAGGAUGCUCAGAAUAAUCUUGACUUGAUUAUGGGUACGUUAAAUAUUCUUGGUUAUCGUGCUAAAGUGUUGAUUGAUUGUGGUGCUACACAUUCAGUAAUUUCUCAUACAUUUGCUCAAUCGACUCAACCUCGAUCUACACAUCUAGGGUUUGAGUUAGAAUUUGCUAUGCCUAGAGGGGAAAAAUGUUGCGUAGAUUAUGUAUAUCCAGGGUGUCCAGUGAUGGUCGAGAAUGUAGUCAUGCCAGCUAAUCUUGUCCCGUUAGAUAUUGUGGAUUUCGAUGUGAUAUUAGGCGCAGAUUGGUUGCAUUUCAAUCGUGCCCAAAUUGAUUGUUAUUGGAAAACAGUGACUUUCCAUCGCCCUGGAUUACCUAAAGUUACGUUCGUAGGUGAGUCUAGUGGAUUGAGGCAUGAAGUUAUUUCAGCUGUGAGAGCUGAAAAAUUAUUAUCGAAAGGUUGUCAAGGAUAUUUGGCGCAUGUGAUAUUAGAUGAUGUUGCUCUUAGUAGUUUGGAAGAAGUGGGAGUAGUCAGGCAUUUCCCUGACGUAUUUCCGAAUGAUUUACCUGGAUUGUCGCCUGAUAGAGAUGUCGAGUUCAGUAUUGACUUGCUUCCAGGUACAAAUCCUAUUUCCUUAACUCCUUAUCGUAUGGCUCCUACUGAGUUAAGAGAAUUGAAGAUUCAAUUACAAGAAUUGGUUGAUAAAGGUUUUAUUCAACCUAGUACUUCACCCUGGGGAGCUCCAGUUUUGUUUGUAAGAAAGAAAGACGGAACUUUGAGGUUAUGCAUCGAUUACAGGCAAUUGAAUCAGGUAACGAUUAAAAACCGUUAUCCAUUGCCGCGUAUCGACGAUCUAUUUGAUCAACUUCGAGGUGCCUGUGUAUUCUCAAAGAUCGACUUAAGGUCAGGUUACUACCAGUUGAAGAUUAAGAGUGACGAUGUCUACAAAACUGCUUUUAGAACUCAUUAUGGUCAUUAUGAGUUCCUUGUGAUGCCGUUUGGAUUGACGAAUGCACCUGCAGUUUUUAUGGGUUUGAUGAAUAAAGUAUUCUAGCAAUAUUUGGAUAGAUUUGUCAUUGUAUUUAUUGAUGACAUUCUGGUGCAUUCCAAGUCUGAAGUAGAUCAUGUUCAACAUCUUACUCUGGUGUUGGAGAAAUUGAGAGAGCACCGUUUGUAUGCUAAGUUUAGCAAGUGCCAAUUUUGGUUAAGUGAAGUGGCAUUUUUGGGACAUGUCAUAUCAGAUCAGGGUAUUUUGGUAGACCCUCAAAAAAUUUCAGCUGUGGAAAAUUGGGAACAUCCACGAACAGUUACAGAGGUACGGAGUUUCCUUGGCUUAGCAAGUUACUAUCGACGGUUUGUGAAGGAUUUUUCAGUUAUCGCUUUACCACUUACAAGGUUAACCAGAAAGGAAGUCAAGUUUGAGUGGGAUAGUAAGUGUGAGCAGAGUUUUCAGCAACUUAAGCAUUGUCUCACUCAUACAUCUGUUUUGGCACUUCCUGAUGACAGCGGUAAUUUCGAGAUUUAUAGCAAUGCUUCAUUGAAUGGCCUGGGAUGUGUUUUAAUGCAGCAUGGUAGGGUGAUUGCUUAUGCUUUACGUUAGUUAAAGCCUCAUGAAAAGAAUUACCCUACUCAUGAUUUGGAAUUAGCAGCUAUUAUAUUUGCCUUGAAGAUUUGGAGACACUACCUUUAUGGUGAAAAAUGUAAGAUCUUUACGGAUCACAAGAGUCUUCAGUACAUUUUCAUCCAGAAAGAGCUUAAUCUUAGACAACGAAGGUGGUUAGAGCUGCUUAGCGAUUAUGAUUGCACUAUCGAGUAUCAUCCUGGUCGUGCUAAUGUGGUGGCUGAUGCUUUGAGUAGGAAAUCUCAAGGUCGAGUUAACGCAUUGUAUGCUUCUCGUGUUCCUCUUCUUGCAGAUUUGAGGUCCACUGGAGUGCAAUUGGGAUUUGAAGAACAAGAGGAAAUGGUGGUCGGACGAGAAGAAGCUUUACUUGCUAGUUUUCAAGUUAGGCCUAUUUUAAUGGAUCGUAUACUCGAAGCCCAAGGAAUUGACGAAGAAGUUCAGAGUUUAAUCUUGGCAGUUUUUCAAGGAAAGAAAAAUGACCUCAAUGUUCGAGAAUCUGAUGGCAUGCUUAUGUAGGAUAAGCGGAUGUACGUGCCAAAUAAUGAGGAAUUGAAGAAAUAGAUUCUUGAUGAAGCGCAUAUUUCAGCAUAUGCAAUGCAUCCAGGGGGUACUAAGAUGUAUCAUACCAUUAAGCCAUUUUACUAUUGGCCAGGUAUGAAAAGAGAAAUUGCAGAGUAUGUCAGUAGGUGUGCAGUUUGUCAGCAUGUUAAAGCUGAAAGGAAGAAACCGUUUGGUUUAAUGCAACCACUUCCCGUUCCACAGUGGAAAUGGGAGAAUAUCACUAUGGAUUUUGUGUACAAGCUUCCUCGUACACGGAACGGUUAUGAUGGCGUUUGGGUGAUUGUAGAUCGACUUACUAAGUCAGCGCAUUUUAUUCCAGUGAGGGAAAAGUAUUCUCUGAACAAGUUGGCUGAGCUGUUUAUCACUAAGAUUGUGAAGUACCAUGGGAUUCCAGUAAGUAUUGUUUUAGAUCGAGAUCCUAGAUUCACUUCUAAGUUAUGGACAGCUUUUCAGGAAGCUCUUGGUAUGAAAUUGCUAUAUAGUAUGGCGUAUCAUCCCCAGAUAGAUGGUCAAUCAGAGAGGACAAUACAGACUUUGGAAGAUAUGUUAAGAUCUUCUGUAAUGCAGUUUGGCGAUGAUUGGCAUGCAAAGUUGGAUUUAAUGGAAUUUGCUUAUAAUAACAGUUACCAUUCUAGCAUCGGGAUGGCACCGUUUGAAGCUUUAUAUGAAAAAUCGUGUCGUACUCCUUUGUGUUGGUCAGAGGUUGGUGAAAGAGUUUUGGUGGGCCCUGAGAUAGUGGAGGAGACUAAUCAGAAUGUUCAAGUAAUUAAGUCUAAUUUGAAAGUGGCCCAGGAUCGGCAGAAGAGCUUAGCAGACAGGCAUGCUACUGAUCGAGUGUAUAAGGUUAAUGAUUGGGUAUUUUUGAAGCUAUCGCCGUGGAAAAGAGUAGUAAGGUUCGGGAAAAAGGGUAAGCUGAGCCCUAGGUACAUCAGACCUUACCAGAUCACCGAGCGAGUUGGUGAGGUUGCUUACAGACUUGAGUUGCCUUCGGAACUAUCUAAAGUGCAUAACGUAUUUCAUGUUUCGAUGCUUCGUCAUUAUGUUGCAGAUCCAUCGCAUGUGAUUCCAAUUCAAUCUUUGGAGAUUAGCCCGAAUUUGACUUAUGAUGAAUAACCAGUAACUAUCUUGGAUUGGAAAGAGAAAGUUCUGAGAAAUAAGACGGUGCAGUUGGUAAAAGUCUUGUGGAGGAACCACUCGGUGGAAGAGGCUACUUGGGAAACAGAGGAUCGGAUGAGAGAGAUGUAUCCGAGAUUGUUUUAUGACUAUUAGUGUUGUAUUUUGAUUAUGUAAAUUUCGGGGACGAAAUUUCUAUAAGGAGGGUAGGUUGUGACAGCCCAUCCCGAAUUAACGUUUUCAUAAGUGUGUUUAAUUACCCUAAUUUUUUUUAGUUGGAUAAUCAUGGAUAUUUUGGGUAAUAAUGGACGGAUAGGGAUGUUUUCGGCGGUAUAUGUAUGAAUGAUUAAGCUUGGAAUCCUAUGCCCUCACGGGCUUACAGAAAUCAUUCCUUUUCCCUUACUUUUCUUUUUCUUUUCUGUGAAACCCUCCACUUUGUUCCCUCAAUCACCCUCUCUUUUAUUUUCCCUCAGCUCCCUCAAACUCAACUCUCAUUCUCUCCCGUCAAUUUCUCAAGCUCUCUUUCUCUCCUUCUCUCGAAACCCACGGACUAAACAACAAGUUCAUCAAAACUUCAUAGAUCGACGAAACAAUCACCAUCUUCUUCGUUUCGACGAUACGAGUCCAACCAUACCAAUUUCAGGUAAGAACUAUAACGUUUUCACGUCGAAAAUACGAACUCCGGUUUAGGUACUAUUCAUCAACUUUUUAUUGGUUGAUUUUUAGGACUUUUCAAGCUUAUAGGAAGCUUCUUGAGGUCCUUAGGAGGCUUGGAGUAGUUCGUUGGAAGUGUUUGGACGUAAGAACACGGAGAACGACAAGUUCAAAGUUUGGCCGGAGCUUUCGGGGCUUUUUCCGGUGAAUCCACGCCGAGUUAGGGGUCAAGGAAGGUAUGGAUGUGUUCAUCUCGUCAAUACCUUCAUUUUGAUAUAAAGUACGUCGAAAAUGGUUAAGAAAUGAAGAAGUUAUGACACUUUGAAGUUUACCCAGAAAUUCCGGCAAAACACCCACCUCCGGCGAAACCAGUCCGCCGACGCGAGGAAGAAGACGCGCGUGUGGGCAGCGCGUAUAGGUGGCGUGUGAGGGCGUGUGAGAGACCCAAAUCAAGUUCUGAAAAUUGUCACGUGUUCGUGACAUCGUGUAGAUCACCGUGGUAUAUUCACAUACCCAAAUUGAGCAACGUAUGAGAAAGUUAUUGACGUAUGUUUGUGUAUGUGCGUUUAAAUGAUGUUUUAUAAUUAUUUUUGUAUAGGUGAAAAUUAUACGGACGAAGAACGUAACCAAAAUAGGCGAGGGGUUUACGAACCGGCUACUUAUCAGUGAGUGGGCAGUUAUUUUUCAGUAUAUAUAUACGUAUACUUGACGUAUUUCCCAGAAAACGUAUUUUAAAAGAAAUACGAAUUAAGCAACUUAUCAUGUAUGCAUCAUAUUUUAGUAUGUGCAUUAUUAUAAUUAUGCAUAUUGUUGCAUGGUGCUGAGGAGGCCCAGGUAAGCUACCUUUAAGUAUAUACAUUUGAAAUAUGUAAGUAUAUACAUUUGAAAUACGAUUGAUAUACAUAUGAAAUACAUUUGAAGUACGUAAGUAUAUACGUUUGAAAUAUGAUUGAUAUACGUAUAAUAUACAUUUGAACUACGUAUAAUAUACAUUUGAAAUACGCACGAAAUACAUUUGAAAUACGUAUAAUAUACAUUUGAAAUACAUAUAAUAUACGUUUGAAAUACGUACGAAAUACGUUUGAAAUACGUAUAAUAUACAUUUGAUAUACGUUUGAAAUACAUAUGAAAUACAGUGGAUAUACGUAUGAAAUGUGAUUGAGAUAUGUUUGAAAUGUGAUUAAGAUAUAAUUGUGAUAUGAUUUGAGAUACAAUUAAGAUAUUAUGCUUAUAACAAUCAUGAGAUAAGAUUGGAAUAUGAUGAAUUAUAUGAUUCGAUUGAGAUGUGAUUGAAAGCUCAUUUACUUGCACACGUAUAUUAGUGCUCCCGCCCAGAGAUAGGGGCACAGUCUUUCACGUGAUGUUCACCUCCCGCAUCGCAUGCUCGCCUUGGAUCCAAGUUAGGUGUACAACAUGUCGUAUAGACCACUUAUGUGGGUUCGACUUGUAGGUGACCCGCGAUUUAUCGCACAGCUUCACGUGAUUAUAGCACUAGAGCAUAUUAUAUUAUAUACGAUGAUGAAUUGUAGACCACGUGAGGUGGUAUUGAAUGUGUGCAGGAUAUACAUGUUUAUACAUGAUGUGAUGAGAUGAUUAUGAGCUAUAUAUGUAGUUGAGGGCUGAGUUGAUUGUGAUGAGAUGAUUAUGAAUUAUGUUUAUAGCCGAGCGUUGAAUUGAUUAUAUGUUAUCCCAUCAGAUUCACAUAGGAUGUUAAGCAUUCAGUUAUGAUAUUUGGCAUGACAUACAUUCAUAUUGUUCAGCAUGAUUUGAUAUAUAUUACGUAUAUGAUUAUAUACUUUAUUGCUGGAAAAUUAUACUUGUUUUACGGCGAGGGGUUAGUACAUUCAAAAGAAAAAAAGAAGGUUUUGAAUAAGUUUGUUUUGCUGACCCACUCAACUUUGUUUUGCGCCCCUCCAAGUUCUAGGUAGCGUAUAUCGGUGAAUCUCGAGGUGUCCAGCUGAAAGUUCUGACAAACCACCACUCAUGUAGGACCAACUUCGAGUGUUGUUAAAUAUGUACAUCUUAUGUUUGACUGCACUUAGACCUUGUGCUUUGGUUGUGUAUUCACACUUAAACUCAAAUUAGAACCUAUCGUAUUUGGUUUUAAUUUAUUCGUACUUUCCUUAUAAAAUAUCACUUCCACACAGCGCACAUGGCUACGUCACGCUCACGUGACGGCCAGCAUGCCUUGACUUCGGUCGGAGUGUGUCAUUUACACUAGUGGAUACCACAAAAUCUUAUUUUAUACUUAAUAGAAUUAUAAUAUUAACUCUAAGUGUUUGUUUAAUUGACCGUUUUGACACAAUAUGCAUUCUACGAAACUUUUUUCAAUGAUCCAACCGUCAAAAUUAUUUGUACACACUCUGAGAUUGCAUACGUAAAAAAUCAUAAAAAACAAACAUUCAAAGAUUAGGCAACGGAAUAAAAGUUUUCGACGGUUAUAAAAGAAAAAUCACAAUUUAGCGGUUAUUUUAGCUUCGAUUUUGAUGAUUUUUUACAGCUACACUCCUUAACCCUAUAAGAAUGUAAUGAAUAAAUUUGAUCUUUAAUUUAAAAUAUUUACACUAGUGGAUACCACAAAAUCUGAUUUUAUACUUAAUAGAAGUAUAAUAUUAACUCUAAGUGUUUGUUUAAUUGACCGUUUUGACACAAUAUGCAUUCUAUGAAACUUUUUUCAAUGAUCCAACCGUCAAAAUUAUUUGUACACACUCUGAGAUUGCAUACGUAAAAAAUCAUAAAAAACAAACAUUCAAAGAUUAGGCAACGGAAUAAAAGUUUUCGACGGUUAUAAAAGAAAAAUCACAAUUUAGCGGUUAUUUUAGCUUUGAUUUUGAUGAUUUUUUACAGCUACACUCCUUAACCCUAUAAGAAUGUAAUGAAUAAAUUUGAUCUUUAAUUUAAAAUAUUUACACUAGUGGAUACUACAAAAUCUUAUUUUAUACUUAAUAGAAGUAUAAUAUUAACUCUAAGUGUUUGUUUAAUCUACAGUUUUGAUGCAAUAUGCAUUCUAUUAAACUUUUUUCAACAAUCCAACCGUCAAACUUAUUUUUACACAUUCCGAGAUUGUAUACAUAAAAAAUCGUAAAAAACAAACAUUCAGAGAUUAGGUAACGAAACAAAAUUUUUCGAUGGUUAUAAACAAAAAAUCACAAUUGAACGGUUAUUUUAGCUCCAAUUUUGAUGAUUUUUUUACAGCUACACUCCUCGACCUUAUAAGAAUGCAUUGAACGAAUUCGAUCUUCAAUUUAAAAUAUUUACACUAGUGGAUAAUUUGUUAUACUUAAUGGAAGUAUAACUCUUAAGUGUUUGUUAAAUAUAUCAAUUUGAUAGGAUAUGCAUUCUACGAAACUAGUUUCAACGAUCCAACCGUCAAAUAUGUUUGUAUGUACUCCGAGAUAGCAUGUGUACAAAAUCGCAAAAAAAAAAAACAUUCAGAGAUUAGGUAGCAAGACCAUGAGUGAAAAAAAUAUUAAACUAUUUGUUUAUUUAUUUAUUUAUUUUUAAUCAAUGUAACAUUUUAAAAUAAUAAAAUAGUCAAUUUAUGUCGAUUAUAACCGACAUCAUUAACUUAGAAACUGCCAGAAUAUGUUAAAAAUAUUAAAAAAAAAAGAAUUAAAAAAUAUUGAGGGUUAUAAUAAUUUCAGACGAUUAAAUCCGCUAGGAAUUUAUAUCGAAUAUAUCGGACAGAAAGUAACUUUAAUCUGACAAUAAAUAAAUUAUGUGUCGAAUAUCUUUUAUCUGUCAAAAUAACUUAUUAACCGUCAGAUCGUCCGACACCUAAAAUUAGUAUCGUAGUAGUGAAAACGCGUAAGGCCGGGAAAGGGGGCCCAUUGGCUUACCGUGUGUUUGCCACUGCCAUUCUGUGACCUGUGAGUAGUCAGCUUGCUUUAAUAAAAGGUAUGAACUGAUGGUGAUGUUUCCUUCAUCUGUCUUUCUUCAUGUGUGAACGCGUUGAUUUUUUAUACGCGGAAGGUAAAGGUGCUUGAGUUGGUUUCAUCUCUUUGAUGAUUUUCUAGGAAAGCCUGAGGACCAUAAAAUUUUCAAGAACUGAAUAAAUCUCAUCCAUCUCAAGUAUCCCCUUCUCUUUCUUUGAUAUAUUAUCAAGCGCUCGCUUCUUUCUCUUCUUUUUUACUCACAAGUUACAAGUCUACUGUUAGUUCCUUGAGAGAAACACAAACAGAUGGAGUGUAUAAUGACUAUCUUGCAGAUGUGCUGCAGAUCGUUAACAUUUUCUUCUCCGUCAUCUGCUGCAGCUGCUGCUGCUGAUGAUAAUGAUGAUGACUGUGUUGAAGCGAAUAUCCCCCCUCGUCGGGAGAAGUAUGAUGUGUUUAUCAAUUUCAGAGGCGAGGACACCCGCGAUGGUAUUACCAGCCAUCUUCAUGCUGCCUUACUUCAGAAGAAAAUUGAAACCUACAUAGAUAACAGACUUCAAAAAGGAGAAGAAAUCGGACCUGCCCUUCAAGAGGCAAUCGAGAAAUCCACACUUUCGGUGAUCAUUUUCUCACAAAACUAUGCUUCUUCCACAUGGUGUUUGGAUGAACUCGUGCAUAUACUCGAAUGCAAGAAAAUAUAUGGUCAUAUGGUUAUACCCGUAU
rnacentral:lncRNA from 1 species